CACACGUGCUACAAUGGUCGGUACAAAGGGUUGCCAAGCCGCGAGGUGGAGCUAAUCCCAUAAAACCGAUCGUAGUCCGGAUCGCAGUCUGCAACUCGACUGCGUGAAGUCGGAAUCGCUAGUAAUCGUGAAUCAGAAUGUCACGGUGAUUACGUUCCCGGGCCUUGUACACACCGCCCGUCGACGCGGCCG
rnacentral:rRNA from 1 species